UACAGAGGGUGCAAGCGUUAAUCGGAAUUACUGGGCGUAAAGCGUGCGUAGACGGUUACAUAAGUCGGGUGUGAAAGCCCCGGGCUCAACCUGGGAAUUGCAUUCGAGACUGCGUAGCUAGGGUGCGGAAGAGGGAAGCGGAAUUUCCGGUGUAGCGGUGAAAUGCGUAGAUAUCGGAAGGAACACCAGUGGCGAAAGCGGCUUCCUGGGCCAGCACCGACGUUCAGGCACGAAAGCGUGGGGAGCAAACAGG
rnacentral:rRNA from 1 species